CCUGGUUGAUCCUGCCAGUAGUCAUAUGCUUGUCUCAAAGAUUAAGCCAUGCAUGUCUAAGUACAAGCCGACUUAAGGCGAAACCGCGAAUGGCUCAUUAAAUCAGCUAUGAUUCAUUGGAUCUGUACCCACACUUACUUGGAUAACUGUGGUAAUUCUAGAGCUAAUACAUGCACCACGUCUCUGACCGCAAGGGAAGAGCGCUUUUAUUAGUUCAAAACCGGUCGGGCCUCGGUCCGUCACCCCACCGUGUUGAAUCUGAAUAACUUGUCGCUGAGCGCACGGUCUCCGCACCGGCGCCGCCUCUUUCAAGUGUCUGCCUUAUCAGCUUUCGAUUGUAGGUUAUACGCCUACAAUGGCUAUAACGGGUAACGGGGAAUCAGGGUUCGAUUCCGGAGAGGGAGCCUGAGAAACGGCUACCACAUCUAAGGAAGGCAGCAGGCACGCAAAUUACCCACUCCCGGCACGGGGAGGUAGUGACGAAAAAUAACGAUGCGAGACUCAUCCGAGGCCUCGCAAUCGGAAUGAGUACACUUUAAAUCCUUUAACGAGGAUCUAUUGGAGGGCAAGUCUGGUGCCAGCAGCCGCGGUAAUUCCAGCUCCAAUAGCGUAUAUUAAAGUUGUUGCGGUUAAAAAGCUCGUAGUUGGAUUUCAGUUCUGGACUGACGGUUCACCGCCCGGUGCAUACUGUCACGCUCCGAACAGCCACAACAGCCCGCUGGCUCGCACGGGGUGCUCUUCAUCGAGUGUCCCGCGUGGCCGGCAGAGUUUACUUUGAAAAAAUUAGAGUGCUCAAAGCAGGCUACACUUACGGCCUGAAUGCCUAUGCAUGGAAUAAUGGAAUAGGACCUCGGUUCUAUUUUGUCGGUUUUCUGAACCCGAGGUAAUGACUAAUAGGAACAGGCGGGGGCAUUCGUAUUGCGACGCUAGAGGUGAAAUUCUUGGACCGUCGCAAGACGAACUACUGCGAAAGCAUUUGCCAAGGAUGUUUUCAUUAAUCAAGAACGAAAGUUAGAGGUUCGAAGGCGAUCAGAUACCGCCCUAGUUCUAACCAUAAACGAUGCUGACCAGCGAUCCGCCGGCGUUAUUCCCAUGACCCGGCGGGCAGCUUCCGGGAAACCAAAGUCUUUGGGUUCCGGGGGAAGUAUGGUUGCAAAGCUGAAACUUAAAGGAAUUGACGGAAGGGCACCACCAGGAGUGGAGCCUGCGGCUUAAUUUGACUCAACACGGGGAACCUCACCAGGCCCAGACACCGGAAGGAUUGACAGAUUGAGAGCUCUUUCUCGAUUCGGUGGGUGGUGGUGCAUGGCCGUUCUUAGUUGGUGGAGCGAUUUGUCUGGUUAAUUCCGAUAACGAACGAGACUCUGGCCUACUAACUAGUCGACGGAUCUCCAGCAAUUGGUGUCCAGUUCGCAGCUUCUUCUUAGAGGGAUAAGCGGCAACUUUAGCCGCACGAGAUUGAGCAUUGCACCACCUAUGCCAUCACUGCCACCACUUGCCGAGGAGAAAAGGUGGGGGAAGUAAAGGGAGUGAAGGUUACAGUGAGUGCCCCUACAGUGGGAAGCUGG
rnacentral:rRNA from 1 species